CCUACGGGGUGCAGCAGUGGGGAAUAUUGGGCAAUGGGCGCAAGCCUGACCCAGCAACGCCGCGUGAAGGAAGAAGGCUUUCGGGUUGUAAACUUCUUUUCUCAGGGACGAAGCAAGUGACGGUCCCUGAGGUAUAAGCCACGGCUAACUACGGGCCAGCAGCAGCGGUAAUACGUAGGGGGCAAGCGUUAUCCGGAUGUAUGGGGUUUAAAGGGUGCGCAGGCGGUCUGUUAAGUCAGCGGGAAAAGCCCGGGGCUCAACCCCGGCCCGCCGUUGAAACUGGCAGUCUCGAGUUGGAGAGAAGUAUGCGGAAUGCGCGGUGUAGCGGUGAAAUGCAUAGAUAUCGCGCAGAACUCCGAUUGCGAAGGCAGCAUGCCGGCUCCACACUGACGCUGAGGCACGAAAGCGUGGGUAUCGAACAGGAUUAGAUACCCCUGUAGUC
rnacentral:rRNA from 1 species